rnacentral:rRNA from 1 species
AUUGAACGCUGGCGGCAUGCUUUACACAUGCAAGUCGAACGGUAACAGGCCUUCGGGUGCUGCCGAGUGGCGAACGGGUGAGUAAUGCAUCGGAACGUACCCAGAGGUGGGGGAUAACGCAGCGAAAGCUGUGCUAAUACCGCAUGUGAUCUGAGGAUGAAAGCGGGGGACCGAGCAGCAAUGUUUGGCCUCGCGCCUUUGGAGCGGCCGAUGUCGGAUUAGCUAGUUGGUGGGGUAAAGGCCUACCAAGGCGACGAUCCGUAGCUGGUCUGAGAGGACGACCAGCCACACUGGGACUGAGACACACCCAGACUCCUACGGGAGGCAGCAGUGGGGAAUUUUGGACAAUGGGCGCAAGCCUGAUCCAGCAAUGCCGCGUGCGGGAAGAAGGCCUUCGGGUUGUAAACCGCUUUUGGCAGGAACGAAACGGUGUCCGCUAAUACCGGGCGCUAAUGACGGUACCUGCAGAAUAAGCACCGGCUAACUACGUG